UACAGAGGGUGCGAGCGUUAAUCGGAAUUACUGGGCGUAAAGCGUGCGUAGACGGUUAUUUAAGUCGGGUGUGAAAGCCCCGGGCUCAACCUGGGAAUUGCAUCUGUGACUGUAUAGCUAGAGUACGGUAGAGGGGGAUGGAAUUCCGCAUGUAGCAGUGAAAUGCGUAGAUAUGCGGAGGAACACCGAUGGCGAAGGCAAUCCCCUGGACCUGUACUGACGCUCAUGCACGAAAGCGUGGGGAGCAAACAGG
rnacentral:rRNA from 1 species